GGGGCCUACCAUGCAAGUCGAGCGGAUGACGGGAGCUUGCUCCUUGAUUCAGCGGCGGACGGGUGAGUAAUGCCUAGGAAUCUGCCUGGUAGUGGGGGACAACGUUUCGAAAGGAACGCUAAUACCGCAUACGUCCUACGGGAGAAAGCAGGGGACCUUCGGGCCUUGCGCUAUCAGAUGAGCCUAGGUCGGAUUAGCUAGUUGGUGGGGUAAUGGCUCACCAAGGCGACGAUCCGUAACUGGUCUGAGAGGAUGAUCAGUCACACUGGAACUGAGACACGGUCCAGACUCCUACGGGAGGCAGCAGUGGGGAAUAUUGGACAAUGGGCGAAAGCCUGAUCCAGCCAUGCCGCGUGUGUGAAGAAGGUCUUCGGAUUGUAAAGCACUUUAAGUUGGGAGGAAGGGCAGUAAGCUAAUACCUUGCUGUUUUGACGUUACCGACAGAAUAAGCACCGGCUAACUCUGUGCCAGCAGCCGCGGUAAUACAGAGGGUGCAAGCGUUAAUCGGAAUUACUGGGCGUAAAGCGCGCGUAGGUGGUUUGUUAAGUUGGAUGUGAAAGCCCCGGGCUCAACCUGGGAACUGCAUCCAAAACUGGCAAGCUAGAGUACGGUAGAGGGUGGUGGAAUUUCCUGUGUAGCGGUGAAAUGCGUAGAUAUAGGAAGGAACACCAGUGGCGAAGGCGACCACCUGGACUGAUACUGACACUGAGGUGCGAAAGCGUGGGGAGCAAACAGGAUUAGAUACCCUGGUAGUCCACGCCGUAAACGAUGUCAACUAGCCGUUGGAAUCCUUGAGAUUUUAGUGGCGCAGCUAACGCAUUAAGUUGACCGCCUGGGGGAGUACGGCCGCAAGGUUAAAACUCAAAUGAAUUGACGGGGGCCCGCACAAGCGGUGGGAGCAUGUGGUUUUAAUUCGAAGCAACGCGAAGAACCCUUUACCACGGCCCUUGACAUGCAGAGAAACUUUUUCCAGAGAUGGGAUUGGUUGCCUUCUGGUAACUCUGACACAGGUGCCUGGCAAUGGCUGUCGUCCAGCUCGUGUUCGUGAGAUGAUGGGGUUAAGUUCCCGUACGAGCGCAGUCCAUUGAUUCCUUUAGUUAACUCAGC
rnacentral:rRNA from 1 species